UACGGAGGGUGCAAGCGUUGUCCGGAAUUAUUGGGUGUAAAGGGUGUGCAGGCGGUCUGUCAAGUCGGAGGUGAAAUCUUGCCGCUUAACGGUAAAAGGGCCUUCGAAACUGGAUUUCUUGAGUUCGGAAGAGGUCGGUGGAAUUCGUGGUGUAGCGGUGAAAUGCAUAGAUAUCACGAAGAACACCAGUGGCGAAGGCGGCCGACUGGUCCGAUACUGACGCUGAGACACGAGAGCGUGGGGAGCGAACAGG
rnacentral:misc_RNA from 1 species